CUUAAAAACGGGGCGAGUCGCACGAGAAAGGGCUUCGGCCCCGGUAAAGUGGCGCACGGGUGAGUAACACGUGUAGGAACCUUCCCUCGGGCGGGGGAUAACACUCCGAAAGGAGUGCUAACAGACGCAUAAGACCACGUCCUCGAAAGGAGAUGGAGUAAAAGCCGGCCUCUACCAUAAGCUGGUACCUGGAGAUGGGUCCACGGCCAUCAGGCAGUUGGCGGGGUAAUGGCAAACAACCUAAGACGGGUAGCUGGUCUGAGGAGAUGAUCAGCCACACUGGAACUGAGACACGGUCCAGACUCCUACGGGGAGCAGCAGUGGGGAAUCUUGCGCAAUGGACGAAAGUCUGACGCAGCGACGCCGCGUGGGUGAUGAAGGCCUUCGGGUUGUAAAGCCCUGUGGGGCGGGACGAAUUAGUAGAAGCUAACAGACUUCUAUGAUGACGGUAUCGCCUUAGCAAGCACCGGCUAACUCUGUGCCAGCAGCCGCGGUAAGACAGGAGGUGCAAACGUUGUUCGGAAUUACUGGGCGUAAAGCGUGUGUAGGCGGCCAUGCAAGUCGGAUGUGAAAGCCCCAGGCUCAACCUGGGAAGUGCACCCUAGGACUGCAAGGCUAGAGUAUCGGAGGAGUUGGUGGAAUUCUCGGUGUAGGAGUGAAAUUCGUAUAGGAUCGAGGAGAACACCGGCGGCGAAUGCGGAAGAGGAUGGACGAACAGAUGACGCUGGAGCACGAAAGCGUGGGGAGCAAACAGGAUUAUAGG
rnacentral:rRNA from 1 species